GCGGCUCGGGGGGCCGGGCCUUCCCCCUUUCCUUGGUCGCUGGGGGCCCUGGCGCCUCGAAGGGCGGGGGCCGUCCCGAGGGGACACUUCUCCUCCUUCGGGAGCACGGUCAGCGACCUUUCUAACCGGACUUCCGCACUGUACCUCUUCACACCCUUCGUCUCCUGGGAGGCGCCAUCCCUGUAUUUGAGCGAGACGGAGGUGGACCGGAGCUUGACGGGGAAGGGGUUUCUGUCCUCACUCGGGGCCGGCUCCUGGGCGGCUGGGCAGGGCUCUCUCGUGCCGGGGUGGCGGCCGCCUCCUGGGGGCUCCCUGCGCGGCCCGGCCGGACUGGCCGCCCUGUCCCCGAGUCCUGAGGGCCGCACUCCGCCGGCUUCCGAGGGCCGGGUUUCGCGUGCUGGGGCUCGGGGAGACCCUGGAGGUCGUCAAGGGCCGCCUCGCUCCUCCAGGCCGGGCUGCUCCUCGCGAGAGGAGAAGGCGGCAGCUGGCGCGUUCCAGCGGGCGGGAGGCGCCCGGGCGAGGCCGCGCUCGGCACGAGGACACCGAGAACUUCUUCGCGCCUCGCAGCUCGGCGCCGCCCUCUCCGCCUUCCGCUCUGGAGCCGCCCUUUCGGCGCCCGCCGGUGGCGCCUCGGCCCGCUCGGCCUUGGGGCGGCGGCCUCUGCGUCGGGGGGAACCUGGGCCGUGCUCCCCCGGGGGAGACUCCGCGGCUGCAAGCGUCGGGGACGCGGCGGGGCCCUCGCUGGCGGCCGCGGGCCGGUGCUUCAGGCAGCUCUUGGGCGCCGGCGGGCUCGGGGCGGACGCCGCGGAGGGCUCGGUCCCAAUUCUCUCGGGCUCGGUCUCUGCCCCUCUCUCGGGUUCGGUCCCCGCUCCUCUCUCGGGCUCGGUCUCUGCUCCUCUCUCGGGCUCGGUCUCUGCUCCUCUCUCGGGUUCAGUCCCCGCCCCUCUCUCGGGUUCAGUCCCCGCUCCUCUCUCGGGCUCGGUCUCUGCUCCUCUCUCGGGCUUGGUCUCCGCCCCUCUCUCGGGUUCGGUCCCCGCUCCUCUCUCGGGUUCGGUCCCCGCUCCUCUCUCGGGUUCGGUCCCCGCUCCUCUCUCGGGUUCGGUCCCCGCUCCUCUCUCGGGCUCGGUCUCUGCUCCUCUCUCGGGCUCGGGCGCCGCUCCUCUCUCGGGCUCGGCCGGCCCUGGGGGCCCCUUCUCCCUCGUCCGGGAGCACGGGCGGCGUCGGCUCCGCUUCCUUCGGGACACUGCGGUCUGGCCCGUCGGGAGCAGAGGACGCCUCCGAGGUGGCGGUGGGGUCAGUCUCGGGGGCGUCGUGUCCCCCCUCAGGGAGGGCGGUGGGAAGCGGGCUCGCGACGUCUUCGGGAGCACAGACCACCGCCUCCGCCGUGUCCGCGGCCGGGGCACAUGGGCCUGCUGGGGGCGCCUCCCCCUCCUGCUUUCCGCCGUCGGGACCUGGAUGCGGGGGGCCCUCCGGCGGGGACGGGGGCUCCACGCGGAGGAUGGGGGCCGACUCGGGCUCGGCGAGCUCCGGGGUGGCCGGGCGGCCUGA
ensembl:lncRNA